rnacentral:rRNA from 1 species
UAUAAGGGUUUUAUACCACCCUGCAUGUGCCUCUUGUCUGAUCGCCCAAGCUAAGCAGGGUUGGGCCUGGUAAUACUUGGGAUCGGAGACUAUAUUCACUUAUAA